UACGUAGGGUGCGAGCGUUGUCCGGAAUUAUUGGGCGUAAAGGGCUCGUAGGCGGUUUGUCGCGUCGGGGAGUGAAAACCCAGGGCUUAACCCUGGGCUGGCUUCCGAUACGGGCAGACUAGAGGUAUGCAGGGGAGAACGGAAUUCCUGGUGUAGCGGUGAAAUGCGCAGAUAUCAGGAGGAACACCGGUGGCGAAGGCGGUUCUCUGGGCAUUACCUGACGCUGAGGAGCGAAAGUGUGGGGAGCGAACAGG
rnacentral:rRNA from 1 species